rnacentral:rRNA from 1 species
GCUCAGGAUGAACGCUGGCGGCGUGCUUAACACAUGCAAGUCGAGCGAAGCAAUUUAAGUGAAGUUUUCGGAUGGAUCUUAAAUUGACUGAGCGGCGGACGGGUGAGUAACGCGUGGAUAACCUGCCUCACACAGGGGGAUAACAGUUAGAAAUGACUGCUAAUACCGCAUAAGCGCACGGUACCGCAUGGUACAGUGUGAAAAACUCCGGUGGUGUGAGAUGGAUCCGCGUCUGAUUAGGUAGUUGGUGAGGUAACGGCCCACCAAGCCGACGAUCAGUAGCCGACCUGAGAGGGUGACCGGCCACAUUGGGACUGAGACACGGCCCAAACUCCUACGGGAGGCAGCAGUA